AAAUUGAAGAGUUUGAUCAUGGCUCAGAUUGAACGCUGGCGGCAGGCCUAACACAUGCAAGUCGAACGGUAACAGGAAGAAGCUUGCUUCUUUGCUGACGAGUGGCGGACGGGUGAGUAAUGUCUGGGGAACUGCCUGAUGGAGGGGGAUAACUACUGGAAACGGUAGCUAAUACCGCAUAACGUCGCAAGACCAAAGAGGGGGACCUUCGGGCCUCUUGCCAUCGGAUGUGCCCAGAUGGGAUUAGCUAGUAGGUGGGGUAACGGCUCACC
rnacentral:rRNA from 1 species